rnacentral:tRNA from 1 species
GGCGGGGUAGCUCAGCCUGGUUAGAGCAGCGGCUUCAUAAGCCGCGUGUCGCCGGUUCAAAUCCGGCCCCCGCUA